GGUCAAGUUAAAAAGAGCACUAGGAGAAUGCCUAGGCACCAAGAGGCGAAGAAGGACGUGACAAGCUGCGAAAAGCUGAGGUUAGCUGCAAAUAAGCCAAGCCUCAGAUAUCCGAAUGGGGAAACCCACCUCAAAAGAGGAAUCCUAUAGCCAAUAAAUAACUAUAGGAAGCGAACCAGGUGAACUGAAACAUCUAAGUAACCUGAGGAAGAGAAAGAAAACUCGAUUCCCAAAGUAGCGGCGAGCGAACAGGGAAGAGCCCAAACGUGUAAAAAGAGAAAAUAGCCAGUCGAAUCAUCUGGGAAGACGAACCAAAGAAGGUAACAGUCCCGUAGACGAAGGCGAAGAUAUCCGACACAAAAGAGUACCACGGNACACGAGAAAUUCAGUGGGAAUACAGGGGGACCACCCCCUAAGGCUAAAUACUACUUGGUGACCGAUAGCGAACAAGUACCGUGAGGGAAAGGUGAAAAGAACCCCGGGAGGGGAGUGAAAUAGAAUCUGAAACCUAGUGUUUACAAGCAGCGAAAGUGGCAAAAGCCACGAUCGUGUACUUUUUGUAGAACGGGCCAGCGAGUUANGAUUACAAGCAAGGUUAAACAUUAAAGAUGUGGAGCCGAAGCGAAAGCGAGUCUAAAGAGGGCAAAAGUUAGUAGUCGUAGACCCGAAACCGUGUGAUCUAUCCAUGAGC
rnacentral:rRNA from 1 species